GUAGCCGCGCGCCGCCGUCAUGGCAGCCGAGGAGAAAGACCCUCUGAGCUAUUUCGCGGCUUAUGGAAGCAGCAGCUCUGGCUCCUCGGACGAGGAGGAUAACAGCGAGCCGGAAGAGACGAGUCGCCGCGCUCCGGAUCAGGACAAGGCGGCGGGCAGCUGCGGGAACAGGGCGAAGAAACGGCUGCCGGGCCCCGACGAGCUGUUCCGCAGCGUGACUCGCCCGGCCUUUCUCUACAAUCCGCUCAACAAGCAGAUCGACUGGGAGAGGCACGUCGUCAAGGCUCCCGAGGAGCCUCCCAAAGAGUUCAGAGUCUGGAAGUCAAGCUACGCGCCGCCUCCGGAGACUUACACGGCCGAGAAGAAAGCGCCGCCGCCGCCAGAACUGGAUAUGGCGAUAAAAUGGUCUAACAUCUACGAGGACAAUGGCGAUGAUGCCCCGCAGAAUGCUAAGAAAGCGAGGCUUCCACCGGAAGGAGAGCAGACGGUGGAAUCUGGACAGAAAAACUGAGCAGGUGUAGAGAGGAAGCUCGACAGAGACACCUGUAGUGCUUGCUUCACUGCUUUUGAAGCUUCCUCCUUACAGAUGAUGAAAAAGAUGAGCAUACUUCUAAGAAGCGUAAAACAGAGCCAGGAGAACCAAUAAAGAAGAAAAAGUAGAAAACCUCAAGAACUUCUGGACUGCAAAUGGCUACUGGAGCCAGACUAAGCUGCUGAUUAUAAAUUACUGAUGGAGCCUGUUUAUGAAAGUACACACGGAUUAACAAGCAUUGCUGCGGGAACUUCCCACUGUAGAAUUUGCUUUUUUUUAAAAAAAAAAAAAAAAAAUUUAAUAUGUAUUUAAAACUCCAGUGGUGACUUGUGAUUGUGAAAUUAAUGACAUUGGGAAGCAUUCUUGCUGCCCAGGAUUGGUGACGUGUUUUGAGACUUUUGUCACAUGUUGAUAUGCCCAUGUUCUAUGAACCUUUUAUAAAGGAAUUAUUUUUAAUAUGAAUAUUGUACUGUGAACUUGUGGGGUGCUUUCAACAGUGUACAGUGUAAAUAGAUCAUGAAAAUAAAAUUGCAUAUUCAAUAUUGCU